CUUACACAUGCAAGUCGAACGGCAGCACGGACUUCGGUCUGGUGGCGAGUGGCGAACGGGUGAGUAAUGUAUCGGAACGUGCCUAGUAGCGGGGGAUAACUACGCGAAAGCGUAGCUAAUACCGCAUACGCCCUACGGGGGAAAGCAGGGGAUCGCAAGACCUUGCACUAUUAGAGCGGCCGAUAUCGGAUUAGCUAGUUGGUGGGGUAACGGCUCACCAAGGCGACGAUCCGUAGCUGGUUUGAGAGGACGACCAGCCACACUGGGACUGAGACACGGCCCAGACUCCUACGGGAGGCAGCAGUGGGGAAUUUUGGACAAUGGGGGAAACCCUGAUCCAGCCAUCCCGCGUGUGCGAUGAAGGCCUUCGGGUUGUAAAGCACUUUUGGCAGGAAAGAAACGUUCCGGGUUAAUACCCCGGGAAACUGACGGUACCUGCAGAAUAAGCACCGGCUAACUACGUGCCAGCAGCCGCGGUAAUACGUAGGGUGCAAGCGUUAAUCGGAAUUACUGGGCGUAAAGCGUGCGCAGGCGGUUCGGAAAGAAAGAUGUGAAAUCCCAGAGCUUAACUUUGGAACUGCAUUUUUAACUACCGAGCUAGAGUGUGUCAGAGGGAGGUGGAAUUCCGCGUGUAGCAGUGAAAUGCGUAGAUAUGCGGAGGAACACCGAUGGCGAAGGCAGCCUCCUGGGAUAACACUGACGCUCAUGCA
rnacentral:rRNA from 1 species